AAGUUUGUUUUUCUUAACUCUAUUAAGAGUGUUUCAUUCAGAUAUGCUUAUGGUUAAUCAUUACUGAUUGCCAUGUAGAAUUGUACUCUGUACAUCUUGUAUGUAUAAGUCAGGUAUGAAAGGCUGAUCACCUUCAAUACCAGUUGGUCCAGAUAUAUAUUGUUCAUAUGUAAUACUUGUUCAGUCAAAAGUUUGUUCAUGCUAAUUCACAUCUACAUUGUGAAUUAUAG
rnacentral:lncRNA from 1 species